rnacentral:lncRNA from 1 species
CUCUACAGUCGUUGGUAAUUAUAGCUACCGAUUCCAAAUUCACCUCAGGAGUCGAUGGUAGCUAUACUUACCAAUAGUCGGGGUUCCGUUAGGGUGACCAAUUUUAUGGAUUAACUAGUUUUAAAAGCUAGUAUAGAUUAUAAAAUUAUACUAGUAUUGUGUACUAUAAAAAUCCUUACUAGGUGGUAUUUGCAUCUCUUCCCUAUGAGUUGGUAACAUUAAAAAAACAACUGUUAAAGUCUGACGAGUGUUGGUCGAGUCUACUGUCAACUACUGUGUUUGCGAGUGAGUGUUUUAGACAAGAAAUAUGCCCAGAUGCCCAGGAUAUUGAUUACAGGGUACACCAAAUUUGGUCAACUUUCAUCAUGAGAUGCUAUAGUUCAGCUAUAGAGAGGAGACAGAGAGUAAUUACAAAAAAAAAAAAACGAAUUACCAAACUGUCAGUAGAUGUCCGACAGGAGCUUACGGACAGAAAGCGGCAGGCGCAAUUAGAUUUUGCAAUAAGGCCGCCUUUUGUCUCUAGUGUCUCGAUUUAUUUAUGUUUGGUACGUCAUUUUGUGCAAUCAAGUAUAUUGUAUUGUAAGACUGUCAUUUUAAAUUCUAAUAAAAAAAUAUAUUUUUAAGGUCCGAAUGAUAAGUGCUUGGUAAAAAAUGUAAAUAAAACAAGCAUUCAAUUAUAAAUUGGUUUUAGUUCAUAUUAAUAAACCUUAAUUUUUCUA